rnacentral:RNase_P_RNA from 1 species
GGGCGUAGGUGGACGGUUGACGGUGAAACCACAAUAUAUAUUGUGGUUUCGCUGAGGAAAGUCCUCUCUCAUUCUGGACCAGGAAACCACGCAAGUGGUAAGGGUGAGAACCCUUGCAGAGGCACAGAAACGACACAGCCUAAGGAUAACUGCGAUGAUGCACUUUGGUGUUGAGGUCUCCUUAGGAUUUGAUGAAACGGUCUAUCUGCUCCUGGAGCAAGUCCAAACAUUGAGAUCAGUUGUCCAGACUGCUCAAAGGUAGGACGCAUUAGUAGAAUACCGUCUUAAAAACAGAAAGAGGCUUACGGCCUACACCC